rnacentral:rRNA from 1 species
GAUGAACGCUGGCGGCGUGCCUAACACAUGCAAGUCGAACGAAGCACCUUUUAAGAUUCUUCGGAUGAUUGAUUGGUGACUGAGUGGCGGACGGGUGAGUAACGCGUGGGUAACCUGCCCUGUACAGGGGGAUAACAGUUGGAAACGGCUGCUAAUACCGCAUAAGCGCACGAGAGGACAUCCUCUUGUGUGAAAAACUCCGGUGGUACAGGAUGGGCCCGCGUCUGAUUAGCUGGUUGGCAGGGUAACGGCCUACCAAGGCGACGAUCAGUAGCCGGUCUGAGAGGAUGAACGGCCACAUUGGAACUGAGACACGGUCCAAACUCCUACGGGAGGCAGCAGUGGGGAAUAUUGCACAAUGGGGGAAACCCUGAUGCAGCAACGCCGCGUGAGUGAAGAAGUAUUUCGGUAUGUAAGGCUCUAUCAGCAGGGAAGAUAAUGACGGUACCUGACUAAGAAGCUCCGGCUAAAUACGUGCCAGCCGCCGCUGUAACAC